UACGGGGGGGGUAAGCGUUGUUCGGAAUUACUGGGCGUAAAGGGCUCGUAGGCGGCCAACUAAGUCAGACGUGAAAUCCCUCAGCUUAACUGGGGAACUGCUUCUGAUACUGGAUGGCUUGGAUUCGGGAGAGGAAUGCGGAAUUCCAGGUGUAGCGGUGAAAUGCGUAGAUAUCUGGAGGAACACCGGUGGCGAAGGCGGCAUUCUGGACCGAUAUUGACGCUGAGGAGCGAAAGCCAGGGGAGCAAACGGG
rnacentral:rRNA from 1 species